GAGGGUAUAGCUCAGUGCUUAGAGGACAUGCUUAGCAUGUUCAGGGUCCUGGGUUCAAUCCCCAGUACCUCCA
rnacentral:tRNA from 1 species